rnacentral:rRNA from 1 species
AUGACCGCUGCUGGGCCAGCCCACAACAGAGGUUCCUUCAGACGAGCUCCUGUGCAGUCAAAUAUUUACAGCCCUUCUUCGGCAAGGGUAUCCGGUAAAAGGAGGACGGUUCCUAAUCUUUUGAUCGGCAAAGGGUUCGAUGCAUUAGUUUCCGACUAUGAACGAGUCAAUCAGCUAGAUCUACUUGCGGCAAACGGCACCUUCCUUUCCCAGCCAGUGGUACGUAAGGCAAUGGUUGUUAUUGAAGUUCAGAUCAGGGAAUACCCUAGGUUUCGGCUUUUUCCACGGUUCCGUAACGGUAGGUUUCGGCUCCUCGCUACAUCCCUUCCGCUCCUACUAAGGACGCUGCUGAACCGAUAG